UACGGAGGGUGCGAGCGUUGUCCGGAAUCACUGGGCGUAAAGGGCGCGUAGGUGGCGCGGGCAGUCAACGGUGAAAGUUCGGGGCUCAACCCUGAAUCGGCCGUCGAUACUCCCGUGCUGGAGCACUGUAGAGGCUAAUGGAAUUCCGGGUGUAGCGGUGGAAUGCGUAGAGAUCCGGAAGAACACCGGUGGCGAAGGCGGUUAGCUGGGCAGUUGCCGACACUGAGGCGCGACAGCGUGGGGAGCAAACAGG
rnacentral:rRNA from 1 species